AACAUCGCGCACCUGCGGGAACCUGCGGAGGGAUCAUUACAGAGUUGCAAAACUCCCUAAACCAUUGUGGACGUUACCUAAACCGUUGCUUCGGCGGGCGGCCCGGGUCCUUCCCGGCGCCCCUCGGCCCUCGCGGGCGCCCGCCGGAGGUAAACCAAACUAUUGCAUUGUAUGGCCUCUCUGAGUCUUCUGUACUGAAUAAGUCAAAACUUUUAACAACGGAUCUCAGAUCGGAAGAGC
rnacentral:misc_RNA from 1 species